GAUGAACGCUGGCGGCGUGCCUAAUACAUGCAAGUCGAGCGAACAGACGAGGAGCUUGCUCCUCUGACGUUAGCGGCGGACGGGUGAGUAACACGUGGAUAACCUACCUAUAAGACUGGGAUAACUUCGGGAAACCGGAGCUAAUACCGGAUAAUAUAUUGAACCGCAUGGUUCAAUAGUGAAAGACGGUUUUGCUGUCACUUAUAGAUGGAUCCGCGCCGCAUUAGCUAGUUGGUAAGGUAACGGCUUACCAAGGCGACGAUGCGUAGCCGACCUGAGAGGGUGAUCGGCCACACUGGAACUGAGACACGGUCCAGACUCCUACGGGAGGCAGCAGUAGGGGAUCUUCCGCAAUGGGCGAAAGCCUGACGGAGCAACGCCGCGUGAGUGAUGAAGGUCUUCGGAUCGUAAAACUCUGUUAUUAGGGAAGAACAAAUGUGUAAGUAACUAUGCACGUCUUGACGGUACCUAAUCAGAAAGCCACGGCUAACUACGUG
rnacentral:rRNA from 1 species